rnacentral:rRNA from 1 species
UACGAAGGGGGCUAGCGUUGCUCGGAAUCACUGGGCGUAAAGGGUGCGUAGGCGGGUCUUUAAGUCAGGGGUGAAAUCCUGGAGCUCAACUCCAGAACUGCCUUUGAUACUGGCGACCUUGAGUCCGGGAGAGGUGAGUGGAACUGCGAGUGUAGAGGUGAAAAUUCGUAGAUAUUCGCAAGAACACCAGUGGCGAAGGCGGCUCACUGGCCCGGUACUGACGCUGAGGUGCGAAAAGCGUGGGGGAGCAAACG